rnacentral:rRNA from 1 species
CAGGUGGUGGCAUGGUUGUCGUCAGCUCGUGUCGUGAGAUGUUGGUUAAGUCCCGCAACGAGCGCAACCCCUACUUGUUAGUUGCCAUCAUUCUAGUUGGGCACUCUAGCGAGACUGCCGGUAAUAAACCGGAGGAAGGUGGGGAUGACGUCAAAUCAUCAUGCCCCUUAUGACCUGGGCUACACACGUGCUACAAUGGUUGGUACAACGAGUUGCGAGUCGGUGACGGCGAGCUAAUCUCUUAAAGCCAAUCUCAGUUCGGAUUGUAGGCUGCAACUCGCCUACAUGAAGUCGGAAUCGCUAGUAAUCGCGGAUCAGCACGCCGCGGUGAAUACGUUCCCGGGCCUU